UAGCUUCUGCCUGCUGCAAAUACUAGAUGGGUGUAAAAGUAAUUGCGGUUUUUGCCAUCACUUUUAAUGGCAAAAUUAUUUUUGCACCAACCUAAUACCAGUCAGUAGAGAAGUCUGAGAAAGAAUUAUGGAAUUAACGGAUGGUGGGAGCUCAGAUAUUAAGCCGAGAAACCUACAUUUCUUGAAAAAUAUCAUCUGGUCUGCAUUUAGAAACCAUUCAAUCUGAAUGUGCUAGCCUUUGGAAGACUAUCUCUAUCUGUUUUAACAAGUGUUUCUGUGACUUCGUCUUCAGCAUGCUUUUAUUUGGUGGCUACUGUGUUAGGUGCUAACCAUAUCUCCUCCUGAAGUUCUGGCUCUGGUUCUACUUCCUUCAUUGAGUUUUAUGAGGAGGGAAAUUUAUAGGCUGACUCAAAGGUCAUAUAUUUCUGUUCACUGAUUCUUUAGUCCACUGACCCCAUCUUAUACCUGCUUUUCCCUUUGAGCCCCAAAUUUAUAGCCUCAUGUCUACAUAUAUUUCAGUUUUCCGAGUGUAAUUUCCUUAUAGUCCAGAGCAAACAUUAUGCAUUGAAUAAGCAUUUUAUCCCUUGAUUGUUCUUGUUUUCAUCUCUAUUCUUGUUACUUUUCUAUAAUUACCUAUAAGUAUGUGUGUGUGAGUGGGUGCACACCCACACCCACAUUUCCAUACGUCUGCUGAGUUGGCAGACUGGUAGGCCUUGGGAAGAAGCAUGUAUUGGGAAGAAGAAAAUACCACUUGGUAAUGACAGAUUUGGUAGGAAAACUUUUACUUCUUUAAGGGUAAAAAGGAGGAACCAUGUUCCAUGUUAAAAGAAUGGUACAUGUAAUUAUCAUCCCAGCUGUAAAUCAAAAUACCCCACCGCGGUUAGGAAAAGGAGUCUCACAGCCUUGGGCCUCCAAAAGAAAGAACCCAAUUAUAUCAGAUGCCCAUUUCCUUCAGGGGUCAUAGAAAAUGAAGCUUGCUUCACCUCAGGGGCUCAUGAACAUUUUUCCCGUUGUUUCUGGAUCAUCUGGGUUGAUUGUGCAAGACAGUUACUUUCCUGUUAUGCAGUCACCCAGAAACAGAAGCAGAAGCGGCACACACUCUGUGAUCUUUCCCACUUCCUUUCAGCCAAUGCUAUAUUGAACUGUUCCUGAAAUCACUCCAAACAACUGCCAAUGGUGUUUGCAUCUCUUCCUAUCCCAAGUUCCCACAAUCCCCAGCAGGGGUGUUGAUGGUGCCCACAGCCUUUCCUCUUCACCUUGGUAAUAUCAGUUAUCAGCUGCUUACCACAUGCC
rnacentral:lncRNA from 10 species